AGAAUCUACAGGUCGAGCAAGUCUCGUAAAUUUCACGAUUGCGAGCCACGCUUCACGCAACCGUGUUUGCGUACUUGUGUUUCGAGUUGCGUGGUCGUGCGGAGUUAUAUUUACCAAAUUUAAAUCCGUUCCAACAUGCUGUCAAAAUUAAAUCAAUAUGUCAAUAUGGCUACUUGGUGUAAAAGAUAAAUCUUAUUCUAUCUGUUCUUAAUGAGUUUUAGAUAAUUUUAGUUGUAUUUCUUUGUAAUUUUGUGUUGUACAAAGAUUAAUUUAACAUUUUCUCUGGAAGUAUUAAUUUAGAAAGAUAAUAUGCUUCAUUGGUGUUGUGUUUUGAAGUGUGAAAUGCAAAGUAAUUGUGAUAAAGUUCACUUUUAAACUGAACUAAAUAAGGUAUCUGAGAGACAAGAGACAACAAUGGUUAAAUGCAAUACAAUGUACAGGUUUUACUACGAAAUGAAAAUUUUCCUGUCCUGUCUGCUGUAAUCAUUUUAUAUCUGGAAAAUCAGCCGACUUAAUCGAUAAUAACAAUCUCCAGAUUGGGUUCCUUCAAUAAAUAUGGGCUAUAAACACAAUGAAAUAAGUUCCCCAAAAUCUAAAAUGGAGUGGUAUCAAAGGAGAAUUAAAGGAAAAAAUAUUCAUAUUGAAAUUAUUUAUAAGGCACUGGACUGUCUUAAAUUCUACAAUAAAACUAGCAAACAGUCAAACUAGUCAAAAACCAUCAGCAAACAGUUGGUCAGUAAAAGAACAUAAUACAGUCAACCGAUGUGAAGUUAUCCAUAGAUUCCAUCCAUAGAUUUUUUUUUCAAAAUAUCGCAAAAAUACUGGGACAAUAGUACUACCAAGCAAGUAUAUUAUUAAAUUAAAGGAAACCAAUAGUAAAACUUAUACUUAAUAUAAAAUUUUAUAUUAAAACCAAUUUUCCACA